rnacentral:rRNA from 1 species
AUUGAACGCUGGCGGCAGGCCUAACACAUGCAAGUCGAGCGGAUGAAGGGAGCUUGCUCCUGGAUUCAGCGGCGGACGGGUGAGUAAUGCCUAGGAAUCUGCCUGGUAGUGGGGGAUAACGUCCGGAAACGGGCGCUAAUACCGCAUACGUCCUGAGGGAGAAAGUGGGGGAUCUUCGGACCUCACGCUCUCAGAUGAGCCUAGGUCGGAUUAGCUAGUUGGUGGGGUAAAGGCCUACCAAGGCGACGAUCCGUAACUGGUCUGAGAGGAUGAUCAGUCACACUGGAACUGAGACACGGUCCAGACUCCUACGGGAGGCAGCAGUGGGGAAUAUUGGACAAUGGGCGAAAGCCUGAUCCAGCCAUGCCGCGUGUGUGAAGAAGGUCUUCGGAUUGUAAAGCACUUUAAGUUGGGAGGAAGGGCAGUAAGUUAAUACCUUGCUGUUGUGACGUUACCAACAGAAUAAGCACCGGCUAACUUCGUG